UACGGAGGAUCCGAGCGUUAUCCGGAUUUAUUGGGUUUAAAGGGUGCGUAGGUGGUUUGAUAAGUCAGCGGUGAAAGUUUGCAGCUUAACUGUAAAAAUGCCGUUGAAACUGUCGGACUUGAGUGUAAAUGAGGUAGGCGGAAUGCGUGGUGUAGCGGUGAAAUGCAUAGAUAUCACGCAGAACCCCGAUUGCGAAGGCAGCUUACCGGCGCUCAACUGACGCUGAGGCACGAAAGUGCGGGGAUCAAACAGGAUUAGA
rnacentral:rRNA from 1 species